UGGUGUUUGGCAAAUGUGGAGGGGGAGACCUGAGCUGCUUGCGAGCAGCUGUUCGCAUAGUGCUUGAAUAGUGCUAGAGGAUAGGUCUGUCGUUGAAUCUUGAAAGCUCGUAGAUGUGGAGUUUUUUUUUUUUUUUCCUCCAGUCUUAGGUAAACCUUAGGAGGAACCGGUCGAAGGAGAGAGCGCCUUCUGGAACUGUCAAGCACUUGUUCGGCAGCUCAGUGACUGGCUUGGUCUACUUCUGAGGUGCCGAGCUGAAACGCAGCGUACAACCUGGGACGUCACACCCAGAGCUGCCUCUGGCAAGAGGUGUUGUAGCUGGCUUAAGAGGGUAGAUGGAAGCAUCUGCCUCGGGGUAGGUAAGCGGGUAGAGGUAAGGCAGCAGAUGAGAGUAACUGUCCUAGCUGUGCUGUGGCUUUGGAUGCUGCCUUGGCCUAUGCUUUUCUUCCUCUUUCACAGGUGUCUCGCACAGGCUCAAAGGAGCAAACUGCAUUCUGAAGAGCUGCGUAAGUAGGGGGGCUGGUCAUGAACUGGGUUGGAGCGGAAUGGCGAAGUAGCGUGAGGUGACGAUGAAAGGUCUCCGUCUUGCUUUGCAGGUGCCAUGGCAGGCUCUCCACAGAAGUGGCUGAGGAUUUGAGAUGAGGCCAGAGAGUGACAAGGAGCAGCACGUGCAGGGAUGGUUUCCAAGCGCUGCGAUUGUUUUCUCUUCUGUUUAUCAGGUGCCACAGGCAAGGUGGGCUGUAACAUCAGUCUUUAGAAUUGGAGCAAAGCGGGUCACUUGAAUGCCGCACGGCAUCUGAGAAGGGUGUUUUAACAGGAAAAGUUUGUCUGGCGUGGCGGUGUCUGAUGGCAGUGUGUUUCCACAGGUGAAGAGGUGCCUGAAGCCCCAUCCUGGCUGGCCAGCGCACACCUCGCUGAGAACGAAAGCUGCUUUCCAGUAAUUCAGAAAGCUAAGUUACGUCUCGGCCUCGAGCAUCUGGGGCGUGUGCCUGUGCUUUUGGACCUGUCUGUAGCAUUUGGCACCUGCAUUAAUACUUUCUUGGCAUAUGUGCAGGCUUUUGGGGCCUGUGUCUUGGGGGGAGGGUUGGGGCCAGUGUCUAGGGGGGGUGUGGAGCUGCUUGUACAC
rnacentral:lncRNA from 1 species